UGCAAGUCUGGUGCCAGCAGCCGCGGUAAUUCCAGCUCCAAUAGCGUAUAUUAAAGUUGUUGCAGUUAAAAAGCUCGUAGUUGAACCUUGGGCCUGGCUGGCCGGUCCGCCUCACCGCGUGUACUGGUCCGGCCGGGCCUUUCCUUCUGGGGAGCCGCAUGCCCUUCACUGGGCGUGUCGGGGAACCAGGACUUUUACUUUGAAAAAAUUAGAGUGUUCAAAGCAGGCCUUUGCUCGAAUACAUUAGCAUGGAAUAAUAGAAUAGGACGUGUGGUUCUAUUUUGUUGGUUUCUAGGACCGCCGUAAUGAUUAAUAGGGAUAGUCGGGGGCAUCCGUAUUCAAUUGUCAGAGGUGAAAUUCUUGGAUUUAUUGAAGACGAACUACUGCGAAAGCAUUUGCCAAGGAUGUUUUCAUUAAUCAGUGAACGAAAGUUAGGGGAUCGAAGACGAUCAGAUACCGUCGUAGUCUUAACCAUAAACUAUGCCGACUAGGGAUCGGUGGAUGUUAUCUUUUUGACUCCAUCGGCACCUUACGAGAAAUCAAAGUUUUUGGGUUCUGGGGGGGAGUAUGGGUCGCAAGGCUGAAACUUAAAGGAAUUGACGGAAG
rnacentral:rRNA from 1 species